rnacentral:rRNA from 1 species
AACGAACGCUGGCGGCAUGCCUAACACAUGCAAGUCGAACGAGACCUUCGGGUCUAGUGGCGCACGGGUGCGUAACGCGUGGGAACCUGCCCUUAGGUUCGGAAUAACUCCCCGAAAGGGGUGCUAAUACCGGAUAAUGUCUUCGGACCAAAAAUUUAUUGCAUUUGGUUGGGCCCGCGUUGGAUUAGGUUGUAGGUAGGGUAAAAGCUUCCCAAGGGGCCGAUCAAUAGCUUGUCUGAGAGAAUGAUCAGCAACACUGGGACUGAGACACGGCCCAGACUCCUACGGGAUGCAGCAGUGGGGAAUAUUGGACAAUGGGCGAAAGCCUGAUCCAGCAAUGCCGCGUGAGUGAUGAAGGCCUUAGAGUUGUAAAGCUCUUUUACCCGGGAUGAUAAUGACAGUACCGGGAGAAUAAGCUCCGGCUAACUCCGUG